UACAGAGGGGGCAAGCGUUAUUCGGAAUUAUUGGGCGUAAAGGGCGCGUAGGCGGCUUUGCAAGUGACGGGUGAAAUCCCUCGGCUUAACCGAGGAACUGCCUGUCAAACUGCAUGGCUUGAGACCGGGAGAGGUGAGUGGAAUUCCCAGUGUAGCGGUGAAAUGCGUAGAUAUUGGGAGGAACACCAGUGGCGAAGGCAGCUCGCUGGGACGUUACUGACGCUGGAGACGCGAAAGCGUGGGGAGCAAACAGG
rnacentral:rRNA from 1 species